AUGUGCGAUCAUACCAGCACUAAUGCUCCGGAUCCCAUUAGAACUCCGCAUUUAAGCGUGCUUGGGCGAGAGUAGUACUAGGAUGGGUGACCUCUCCUGGGAAGUUCUCGUGUUGCACCUC
rnacentral:rRNA from 2 species